UGGGGAAUUUUGCACAAUGGGGGAAACCCUGAUGCAGCGACGCCGCGUGAUUUAGAAGGCCUUCGGGUUGUAAAAAUCUUUUGUAUGGGAAGAAAAUGACAGUACCAUACGAAUAAGGACCGGCUAAUUACGUGCCAGCAGCCGCGGUAAUACGUAAGGUCCGAGCGUUGUCCGGAAUCAUUGGGCGUAAAGGGUACGUAGGCGGAUAAGCAAGUUAGAAGUGAAAUCCUAUAGCUCAACUAUAGUAAGCUUUUAAAACUGCUCAUCUUGAUGUAUGGAAGGGAAAGUGGAAUUCCUAGUGUAGCGGUGAAAUGCGCAGAUAUUAGGAGGAAUACCGGUGGCGAAAGCGACUUUCUGGCCAUAAACUGACGCUGAGGUACGAAAGCGUGGGUAGCAAACAGG
rnacentral:rRNA from 1 species